rnacentral:rRNA from 1 species
CCAGCAGCCGCGGUAAUWCGAAGGGKGCAAGCGUUWCUYGGAAUUWCUGGGCGUAAAGCGUGCGUAGGUGGUUGUUUAAGUCUGUUGUGAAAGYCCYGGGCUCAACCUGGGAAUUGCAGUGGAUACUGGGCAACUAGAGUGUGGUAGAGGGUAGUGGAAUUCCCGGUGUAGCAGUGAAAUGCGUAGAGAUCGGGAGGAACAUCCAUGGCGAAGGCAGCUMCCUGGACCAACACUGACMCUGAGGCACGAAAGCGUGGGGAGCAAACAGGAUUAGAUACCCUGGUAGUCCMCGCCCUAAACGAUGCGAACUGGAUGUUGGGUGCAAUUUGGCWCGCAGUAUCGAAGCUAACGCGUUAAGUUCGCCGCCUGGGGAGUACGGUCGCAAGRYUGAAACUCAAAGGAAUUGACGGGGGCCCGCACAAGCGGUGGAGUAUGUGGUUUAAUUYGAUGCAACGCGAAGWAACCUUACCUGGUCUUGACAUGUCGAGC